rnacentral:rRNA from 1 species
CCUGAACGCUGGCGGCGUGGCUAAGACAUGCAAGUCGAACGGGUGUAGCAAUACACCAGUGGCGGACGGGUCAGUAAUGAAUCGCUAAUGUACCCCGGAGCCAGGGAUAGCCAGCCGAAAGGCUGGGUAAUACCUGAUGAGACCACGAACAGGCAUCUGUUUGUGCUCAAAGCCGCAAGGCACUCUGGGAGCAGGCGAUUUUGUAUCAGCUUGUUGGUGAGGUAACGGCUCACCAAGGCGACGACGCAUAGCCGGACUGAGAGGUUGGCCGGCGACAUUGGGACUGAGACACUGCCCAGACACCUACGGGUGGCUG